rnacentral:lncRNA from 1 species
GAGAUGGGUCGCUAACGAUCAUGAAGGUCUACGAUGAGACAAUUAGUGGGCUGGUUACGUCAAGUGUGAUAGCGCCAAUGGAUGUUGACUGAGCUACUAUUUCCACCAUAAUUCUAUCAACGAUGGCGUAGGUUAGUUGAACAGAAAUCACCAAAGCAUCAUCGUGGAAAAAGUCUACUCCCUCAGUGUCCUGCUCGGUGAAGCUGACGAUUAGUCCAAGUACAUCAUAUAUGGCUUAAAGCUGAUAGACCGAUCUUGUCAGCUAGAUCUUCCUUUUCUUGGAGUUAUUGGUGGCCCUCAGAUGGUUGG